rnacentral:rRNA from 1 species
CCUACGGGAGGCAGCAGUGGGGAAUAUUGGACAAUGGGCGCAGGCCUGAUCCAGCCAUACCGCGUGGGUGAAGAAGGCCUUCGGGUUGUAAAGCCCUUUUGUUGGGAAAGAAAUCCAGCUGGUUAAUACCCGGUUGGGAUGACGGUACCCAAAGAAUGAGCACCGGCUAACUUCGUGCCAGCAGCCGCGGUAAU